rnacentral:rRNA from 1 species
AUUGAACGCUGGCGGCAUGCCUUACACAUGCAAGUCGAACGGUAACAGGCCGCAAGGUGCUGACGAGUGGCGAACGGGUGAGUAAUGCAUCGGAACGUGCCCAGUAGUGGGGGAUAGCCCGGCGAAAGCCGGAUUAAUACCGCAUACGACCUGAGGGUGAAAGGGGGGGAUCGCAAGACCUCUCGCUAUUGGAGCGGCCGAUGUCAGAUUAGCUAGUUGGUGGGGUAAAGGCCUACCAAGGCAACGAUCUGUAGUUGGUCUGAGAGGACGACCAGCCACACUGGGACUGAGACACGGCCCAGACCCCUACGGGAGGCAGCAGUGGGGAAUUUUGGACAAUGGGCGCAAGCCUGAUCCAGCAAUGCCGCGUGCAGGAAGAAGGCCUUCGGGUUGUAAACUGCUUUUGUCAGGGAAGAAAUCUUCUGGGUUAAUACCUCGGGAGGAUGACGGUACCUGAAGAAUAAGCACCGGCUAACUACGUGCCAGCAGCCGCGGUAAUAC